UACGAAGGGGGCUAGCGUUGCUCGGAAUUACUGGGCGUAAAGCGCACGUAGGCGGCUUCUUAAGUCGGUGGUGAAAUCCUGGAGCUCAACUCCAGAACUGCCUUCGAUACUGGAAAGCUCGAGUCCGGGAGAGGUGAGUGGAACUGCGAGUGUAGAGGUGAAAUUCGUAGAUAUUCGCAAGAACACCAGUGGCGAAGGCGGCUCACUGGCCCGGUACUGACGCUGAGGUGCGAAAGCGUGGGGAGCAAACAGG
rnacentral:rRNA from 1 species